rnacentral:rRNA from 1 species
CCAACAGGGAUUGCCUUAGUAACGGCGAGUGAAGCGGCAAAAGCUCAAAUUUGAAAUCUAACGCCUCUGGUGUUCGAGUUGUAAUUUGGAGAGGCAUCUUCCGGAGUGGCCCAGCCUAUGUACCUUGGAACAGGACAUCAUAGAGGGUGAGAAUCCCGUUCUUGGCUGGAUGUUCACUCCCGUAUGUAGUGUCUUCUACGAGUCGAGUUGUUUGGGAAUGCAGCUCAAAAUGGGUGGUAAAUUUCAUCUAAAGCUAAAUAUUGGCGAGAGACCGAUAGCGCACAAGUAGAGUGAUCGAAAGAUGAAAAGCACUUUGAAAAUAGAGUCAAACAGUACGUGAAAUUGUUGAAAGGGAAGCGCUUGAGACCAGAGUCAGCCUUUGGCAAACAACUGUCCUUCUGGGCGGUGCACUUGUUAUUGGUUGGGCCAGCAUCGGUUGGGACGGUGGGAUAAAGGCUUGGGAAAUGUGACUCCUUUAUGGAGUGUUAUAGUCCCAGGUGCCAU